UACGUAGGGUGCAAGCGUUAAUCGGAAUUACUGGGCGUAAAGCGUGCGCAGGCGGUGAUGUAAGACAGAUGUGAAAAUCCCCCGGGCUCAACCUGGGAACUGCAUUUGUGACUGCACGGCUAGAGUGUGUCAGAGGGGGGGUAGAAUUCCACGUGUAGCAGUGAAAUGCGUAGAGAUGUGGAGGAAUACCGAUGGCGAAGGCAGCCCCCUGGGAUGACACUGACGCUCAUGCACGAAAGCGUGGGGGAGCAAACAGG
rnacentral:rRNA from 1 species